rnacentral:lncRNA from 1 species
GAAGCUACAGUGUCAUUCUCGCUGUAGCGAAAAUGCAUCCUCGCUGUAGCUAGUUUUCGCCAACCUACCCCUCCAAAACUCGAGAGUUUCUCGCUACAGCGAGAAUGAUUUUCGCUGCAACGAGAAUAAUUUUUGCUGUAGCGAGAAACAGGGCACCAAUGCAAAAUUUGCCCUUCUUCCCAAGGAAAAACCACCCUGCUGAAAUGUCCAUACCAACAUGAAACACAUAACAAUUUCCCAAGGUUUAACAUGUCAAGUUUCACAUGCAUUACAACCAUAUACCAUUACCCAUUAAUUUCCUAUAACACACAUAUUUACAUAUGUAUAUAUGUAUACAUAUAUACCCAUCAUCAUCAUCACACCAUCCCAUCAUCAUCAUCACCAGCUCAUAUGCACUCCCUACUCGCACAUGGUUGGGUCAUCACCGGGUUAUGCGCACUCCCUACUCGCACAUAAUCGAGUCAUCCUCGGCUUAUGCGCACUCCCUACUCACACAUAGCCGAGUCAAUAUAAUUACACAACACUAUAUUCAAACAUAUAUGUAUAUCAACAUAAUGUAGUCGCAUAGAAAUCCAUAAUAACCACAUAUCAUAACAUAAACCAUUUCUCAAGAGCUUGUUCCGAAGGCAUUCAUUUUUUAGAGAAGUUGUAUAAAAUCAUUCAAACACAUUGUACAAAAUAGUCAUAUUCCCAAAACAAUUUUGAUAGGUAGUCCACUCACUAGUAUAUUGUUGAGCCUUUAGAUGACUCCAAUUCCCCUAAUUGUCCAAAUGGGAUGAUGGGGCUUCCUUGAAACCUACCAUCACAUUAACAUCACCAUUAUGUUAAUUCACAUACUAUAAACCCUAAAAGCUAUCUCUUAGCUAGCCUUCAAUUGCCACUUUAAAUGGCUAUCUUUGUUCACUCUCUAAAUCACUAUAAAAUGAAUGAACAUCCUCAACAAUAAAACAGCUCAUAAUCCCAAUUACUAGCCAUUAUUCAUAGCUAAAAAUCAAGCUUAAUUCAUCACUUACCCUAGGGCUCCUUUGUAGUCAAAUUCUCUUCCAAUUGCUUUCAAAUCAAUGGGGUAAUUCUCUCUUUCUCUCUCUAGAACACCCAACUAGUGAGAGGAAGUAUGAAAAUAAGAUUUUUCAAGGGUUUUAAGGAGAGAGAGUGGAAGAAUACAAGGGUUCUAGUCAUGAGGGCUUAAAGGUAUGAAAACUAGAGCUAGAGAGAGAAAAUCAUGCAAGCUCCAUAUCAAGCUUCCAUGGAGGUUUUAAAGAAACGUGAGAGGGAAGAAGGAAGAAGAAGAC